UAUAGAGAGCUGAGAACGGGAGAGGCUGGAAAAAGAAAUCGAGAAUGGGAAGGAAGAAAAAGAAGAAAAGAAAGGAAAGGAAGAAGUUGAUGACUUUUGCAAGUUUGGGUGCUUCAUUUCUUCAAUUUAUGUUUCUUUUAAAGAGGUAGGACGUGAAAAUUUGGAAAGGCUCGUCAAUUAAAUCAAGUUUCCAUACAUAGUUCCGUGAGUGGAGAACCUACUUUUCCAAAAAGAAGAUUUCCUUUUUAUUUUAUAGAAGCAUAUUAAUUACUUGAAAUGUCUUAUUUUCGAGAAAUUAGUAAAUGAGCAUUAUUGUUUUAAAAUCAUCAGAAAAUAACUGAUGUAAUUAUCUUACUCUUGUACACUGAGGGGCUACGACCGUGUACUAGAGUCAUGUAUUUAACUCCUAUACACCGAGGGGCUACGAUCGUGUAUAAGGAUGAUUAUGUUAUUUUCAUCUUGUACACUGAGGGCUACGGUCGUGUACUAUAGUCAUGUAUUUAAUUCCUAUACACUGAGGGGCUACGACCGUGUAUAAGGAAGAUUAUAUUAUUUCCAUCUUGUACACUAAGGGGCUACAACCGUGUACUAGAAUCAUGUAUUUAACUCCUAUACAUUGAGGGGUUUCGGCCGUGUAUAAGGAUGAUUAUGUUAUUUCCAUCUUGUGCAUUGAGGUGCUACGGCCGUGUACAUGGUAUUGAUCAGAAGGUUUAUGUGCAUAUGAUUUUAUA